GAGCCCGGGCCGGCCGCGGCGGAAAAUCCGGGCCCGAAAGAUUUUAUAUUAUUUAUUUUAUAGGAUCGGUGCUAUGCCCUCACAUCGAACCCCAAUUCUGUCCCACAUGGAUUCCCAGGACAGUGUAUUACAUCCAAAAUGAUAAACCCAGAUGGCUUUGGAUGUGACACUUCAUGGAAAUAAGAUGCAAAAAGUAUUCCAGGGCAUGAAAUCUUCCCAUAUUUUCAGUGAAGUCUCUUUUGUCAAGAAAAGCUGAUUUUUCAGUCCUGGGAUGCAGAGUGUGUUGUCUGGGGUUUUAUCCUCAUGCUGAGUUUGGACUGCCUGGCCAAAGGACAGAGGUUUUGUCUUCUCUCCCAUUUGAUGAAGUGCAGUGAUCUUGUGUCCCUCAGAACAGAGAGCUCUUGUGCUGAUCUCUACAUUGAACACAAAGAAGGAUUGGCCAGAUGGAUGCAGGAGAGUAAUAAAUGCAUUGCUGCAGUGGAGUGUAAAGCAGAGUGGAAUAAACAGCUCUGCCUACACAUUGUUCACGUUUAAAAUUCAGUUGUUUGCUGAGUGGGCUGCUCGGGGCCGGCUCUUUUCUUGUAGUUUGCUGCAAGAAAUUAAAAUAAUUCACAUGGCAUAAACAUUUCUUUUACCUUUUCUGCCCAUACAGAUGAGAGCAGCGAUCAGAGGGAGGUGUGAGUGGAAGGGCAAUUAUCCCACUGCAGGAGGUGGGAGUCAGCUCAAUGCCAGGAGCUCAUGGAGGCAGGAAUCUGGAAUUAUGCAAUGAUGGAAUUCUGUGCAGUUUAGAUCAGCCAAAGCUGCCUAAAACUUUCCAGCCCAGAGGUUCACCUUGCACUGGCUGCUCUGAGGUGUUUCCUUCUCGAGAAGAUAAGGUGGCAGCCAGGCUGAGGGAGAUCAGGGUCUGGAAGGAUCUGGAAAAUAAAGUGAGAGAUUUCAUGCUCUGGGUUGUAAAUCGGGGGGAAACAGGGCUGGGAGAAACAUUACCUUUUCUUUAAAAUUCUAAUCAACAUGCACAGAGAAUAACACAGAAUAACUGAGAAUAACCCAGAUCCCCACAGCUCCCACUAAAUGCUUUGAUUAUUUAUCAUUGCCCGUUUUUUAUGGGAAGAGUUGACAUUAGAUUAUUAGUGACCUGAGUGGUAUUUGAUUUUUUUUCCCCUUGGAGGUUAAAGACUUUGUAGUUUCCUGUUCUAGGUCCUUUUUAAAAUUCAUUUUAGAGCAUGAAAAAUAUAUUGUUCAGUCAAGUUUAUUUCUCUGACAUUUAUUCAGAGCAAAGUGUGAUCCUAAUAUUAAAGGUUUUUGAUGUGAAGCCCGGGAUACAGACAAGGCUUUUCAGUGGUCUUCCCUAAAACAGGGACAUUUCAUCAGUGCCUGGGAAGUUAAUAUGUUGGAACAGCAUAAUUAUUUGAAGGAGUGUUUGUUUUUCAAGGAUUUGUGGAUGAUAUUAGAUGGCUCAGCCCAGUUGUGUCACAAGGUAUUAAGGUUUCUGCCUGCUAAAGUCAUGGAGCUGGGCCUAUAUAGAGCCAUAAAUAAAAUUGUGUGAGAGCCAGUGACAGACUCUGACUGCAGCUCAACUCUUUAUCACAUGUUAUAUUCAAUUUAAACACAAUUGUUGAAUUCCUUGCUGUGGGCAAAGGCUUUUUUGAUUUCUCCUUCUAUUGAAGUUGUAAUACCCCUCUUAGCCCGUGAAACUCGCUCUUGCCAGGUGUGUUUCUCAAUUAAUCAGCCUCUCAU